AGUUGAUAUGGAUAUCAUAUCAUCACACAAUAUUCUCCUCAACCACAUUAUUACAAUACUAUGUACUGGCCUAUUGAAAAUGGUAACGUCGCCAAUGAAUCUUUGGAAACACUGAUGAGCCACUCGUGUGAAUAAUAAACGAAGGUCGAAGGAUAAGGUCAUAGAAAUGGAAUUUAUGUCGAUAAGUUUGUAUAAUUCAUGUCAUCAUACACAGUUGUACAUGAAAGCAAACAGUGUUGUGGAGUAAAUAUAAUAGAAUAUAAUGGAGUAUAAAUAGAUUUCAAUUAAAACAAAUAUUCAACUGAUAUCAAGAAAAUAGUCCCUGGUUUUUAAACAAAAUAAACAAUAUUCUAUCAUCAUGAAGAAAAUAUCAUUACAACUUUGGUGGAGGGAUCAAUUAAUUAUAAUGCGACUAAUUAUAAUGCCGCUAAAAUUGUCAGUCUUUUACAGAAGUUCAAGAAAAUAUACAAAGCCGCAUCCUUAAUAUUAGAACUCUACCUGAUGAAUUAGUAGAAAAUUUAUGUUGAUAGCAAACCUUAUAAGACAUUAAAAACUUACUCCCCUUACAACACAUUAUUCCUGCUAAAUUAAUAGCCUGCUAAUCGAAGAAACUCAGUGACUAGUGCACUGUAGAAAAAAUGAAAUUAUAAUGAUGAAUUAAUA